rnacentral:rRNA from 1 species
AUACGGAGGAUCCGAGCGUUAUCCGGAUUUAUUGGGUUUAAAGGGAGCGUAGGCGGACGCUUAAGUCAGUUGUGAAAGUUUGCGGCUCAACCGUAAAAUUGCAGUUGAUACUGGGUGUCUUGAGUACAGUAGAGGCAGGCGGGAUUUGUGGUGUAGGGGGGAAAUGCUUAGAUAUCACGAAGAACUCCGAUUGCGAAGGCAGCCUGCUGGACUGUAACUGACGCUGAUGCUCGAAAGUGUGGGUAUCAAACAGGAUUAGAUACCCUGGUAGUCCACACAGUAAACGAUGAAUACUCGCUGUUUGCGAUAUACAGUAAGCGGCCAAGCGAAAGCGUUAAGUAUUCCACCUGGGGAGUACGCCGGCAACGGUGAAACUCAAAUGAAUUGGCGGGG